rnacentral:rRNA from 1 species
CCUACGGGGGGCAGCAGUGGGGAAUAUUGCGCAAUGGGCGAAAGCCUGACGCAGCGACGCCGCGUGAGGGAUGAAGGUCUUCGGAUUGUAAAACUCUGUCAGCAGGGAAGAACGGCCACGGUGCUAUUCCGUAGUGCAUUUACGGUACCUGCAAAGGAAGCACCGGCUAACUCCGUCCCAGCAGCCGCGGUAAUACGGAGGGUGCGAGCGUUAAUCGGAAUUACUGGGCGUAAAGCGGUCGUAGGCGGUAUGUCAAGUCAAGGGUGAAAUCCCCGGGCUCAACGUUGGAACUGCCGUUGAAACUGGCAAACUGGAGUGUGUGAGAGGAUGGUGGAAUUCGAGGUGUAGGGGUGAAAUGCGUAGAUAUCUGGAGGAACAUCGGUGGCGAAGGCGGCGAUCUGGCACAUGACUGACGCUGAGGAGCGAAAGCGUGGGUAGCAAACAGGAUUAGAUACCCCUGUAGUC